rnacentral:lncRNA from 1 species
GGAAACUUAAAACAAGCAUAACUAUCCACUGAUUGUCCACUUGAUCCAAGAUAGAAACUUUUCUAAUCAUGGAGGGAAUGGAAAACUCUGAUGAGCGCAAUGAGAAGGAGAGACUAAGGAUGAGGAUUGCAGUCCUGGAGGAGAGUGUGAGGUCCUGUGAGGUGGACUGCAGAGCCAGUAGGGAGACAGUGGUGAGGCUGGAGACUGAACUGGACCAGGAGAGGAGGAAGUCUGCCAGCAGUGCUGAAGCUCUUCACUCACUCAAAGUGGCAAUGGAGGAUCUUUCCGUGAGCAGGAGGAGUGUAGAGAGGGAAAAGCAGAUGCUGAUGGAAAGGCUGGACGCCAGCCUGAGAGUGAUUGAAGCAGCCAGGAAAGAGUCCAAGUGUUUGGAGAAUCAGGUGGAGGAGCUCGAGAGAAAAACACACAUCACUGAGGGGAAACUACACAAGUUUCGACAGAAGGUGGCCGAGCUCCUGCAGAGGAAGUCUGAGCAAGUCAUUCUGCCCAGAGAGG